UUUUUAACUCUCUACGCUCUUCUUUCUUUGUAAUUUAUUUCUUGCACAACUUUGAAACCAACGCCACUUCGUUUUAGAGGAGUAAUAGUAGAAGAAAAAGAAGGAAGAUGAGAGGACUGUCUGCGGUCUUCACCCUGAUAGAGCAUCUCUUCUUUCUCCCACUAUUUUUUCCCAUAAUUUAAAUGGUUAAUUUGACAUGCUCUGUUUUUUUUUUUUAAUCUAUUUUUUCUGUUUUUUAUUGUUGUGUUUGGUUUUGGGGACAGAACUUCAAAGCAUAAAAGCCCUAGAACCAUCUGUAAACCAAAAUCUACAAUUUAUUUAUUUAUUUAUUUUCAUUUUACUUUCUACUUCUAAUUUGUUUUGUGUUUUCUUCAUUACAGAUAUGCCUUUCUUUUUUGGUUUUCAGGAAACAAAAGUCUCUUCUCAUGAAAGCUUGCAGCAAGUUGUCGUCCUAGCACAGAUUCUAAUAUCAACGUUGAUCGAAUAUGGGCUCAAAUUGCAAAUUUGGAAUUACUAAGUUGUAAGUGUAAAACCACAUAAGUGAUUCAUUUUAAUAUACAUACCUGUUUAGGACGUUUUUCAGUGAUUCAUUAAGUGUUGUUUCUUUUACACGUGAUGUUUUGUUGGCCCAACUUUAGCCCAAAACACCGACUCCUUCAAGAAGGUCACUCUUUUCCUCUCUCUCCAAAAAAAUCGGAUCAUAUAUUUGUGAAUCAUUUUAAUUUUUAUUUAGUUUUACUAAUUCGUUUAUUUUCAAAUUACUUUUAGUUUGAGAAUUGUUGGUUUCAAAAGUCAAUUUGGAUUAUAAGACUCUAAUCUGCACCUAAGAAUUUGUUAAAUUGUUUGUUCGUUUUUCAGAUUUCAAUUUGCCUCCAAUAAGGUGGUAUUGACAACUUUCAUUGUGAUUUAAUGGUUGGGAUGGUGCACACGAAAGCUUCUUCGAGAGAAACUUGGCCAUUGUUGGUGGCAAUGUACGGUUAGUGAGGACGGUUAUGACUUGUGAGGUGAUUGGAGCAACGGUAUUCCAUAUUACCUUUCUGUCACUCUUAAUUUCUUGCUUAAGGUAAUAAAAGGUUUCCACCUUCUGUUGGGUGUGAAAGGAGUGUGGGCUGUUUUUUAUUUUUUGGUUUUGAUGGGUUUUCCCAACUCUUUCAUGUUAGAGCUUAUUGCAUUGAUAUUAGCAAUGGUCAUGAAUUUUUUUGGGGGAAGGGUUUGUGUAUAACAUGACUGAUAAAAUUCCUCAAUGAAGGAGUGGUACUGGAAUAAAUAUAUAUAUAUAUAUAUAUAUAUAUUAAAAAGGAGUUGUAGCUGUAGUUUCCUUUAUUUAAUUUAAUUUUUUUGUUAGCCCACCAAGGAGGUUAAAUUUAAUCUCAAACCAUUGAUAUAUAUGUAGAACAAGAUGCUUUUUUUUUUUUUUCAAGUUAUCCCAUUUAGUUAUAAAAUCUACUAAAAGUUGAAACUAUCUAUGUUUGGUAUGGCUUUUGGAGCCUAGAUAUGUCUUCUCCAGCAAUCACUUCAGCCCAGAGAUGUUUGCCAAAGCUUUGUAGGAGUUUCUUUAUGUUGUCUUGCUCUGAGUCUCUCACCCUCAGUUCGUCUUCUUCUCCCUUCAAUUAUAACCUUCUUAGAUGCCUAUUUAUUUAUUUAUUUAUUUGAAUAACAUAUUGGUAAGCUAUCUCAGUAAGUGCAAUAUAUAUAUAUAUAUAUAUAUAUUAAA